AGAGUUUGAUCCUGGCUCAGAAUCAACGCUGGCGGCGUGCCUCAGACAUGCAAGUCGAACGAUUAAAGCUCUCUUCGGAGAGUGCAUAGAGUGGCGCACGGGUGAGUAACACGUAAGUAAUCUACCUUCGAGUGGGGAAUAACGUCCGGAAACGGGCGCUAAUACCGCAUAAUGCAGCGGCAUCGCAAGAUGACAGUUGUUAAAGGAGCAAUCCGCUUGAAGAGGAGCUUGCGGCAGAUUAGCUAGUUGGUAGGGUAAUGGCCUACCAAGGCUACGAUCUGUAACCGGUCUUAGAGGACGGUCGGUCACACUGACACUGAAUAACGGGUCAGACUCCUACGGGAGGCAGCAGUCGGGAAUUUUGGGCAAUGGGCGAAAGCCUGACCCAGCAACGCCGCGUGAAGGAUGAAGUAUUUCGGUAUGUAAACUUCGAAAGAAUAGGAAGAAUUAAUGACGGUACUAUUUAUAAGGUCCGGCUAACUACGUGCCAGCAGCCGCGGUAAUACGUAGGGACCAAGCGUUGUUCGGAUUUACUGGGCGUAAAGGGCGCGUAGGCGGCAUGGCAAGUCACUUGUGAAAUCUCCGGGCUUAACUCGGAACGGCCAAGUGAUACUGCUGAGCUAGAGUGCAGAAGGGGCAAUCGGAAUUCUUGGUGUAGCGGUGAAAUGCGUAGAUAUCAAGAGGAACACCUGAGGUGAAGACGGGUUGCUGGGCUGACACUGACGCUGAGGCGCGAAAGCGUGGGGAGCAAACGGGAUUAGAUACCCCGGUAGUCCUAGCCCUAAACGAUGAAUACUUGGUGUCUGGAGGUUUAAUACUCCGGGUGCCGUCGCUAACGUUUUUAGUAUUCC
rnacentral:rRNA from 1 species